AUACGGAGGAUCCGAGCGUUAUCCGGAUUUAUUGGGUUUAAAGGGUGCGCAGGCGGGAGAUUAAGUCGGCGGUGAAAUUUUGCAGCUCAACUGUAAAAGUGCCUUCGAAACUGGGUUCCUUGAGUGUAGAUGAAGUAGGCGGAAUUUGUGGUGUAGUGGUGAAAUGCAUAGAUAUCACGAGGAACUCCGAUUGCGCAGGCAGCUUACUAAACUACUACUGACGCUCAGGCACGAAGGCGUGGGGAUCAAACAGGAUUAGAUACCCUGGUAGUCCACGCAGUAAACGAUGAUUACUAGCUGUUUGCGAUACAAUGUAAGCGGCUGAGCGAAAGCGUUAAGUAAUCCACCUGGGGAGUACGUUCGCAAGAAUGAAACUCAAAUGAAUUGACGGGG
rnacentral:rRNA from 1 species